ensembl:lncRNA
AGGUUAAUUUUUUACAAUGCCCUUUUCCUCAACUUUUACAUGAGUUCAAGGAGCUGAUCCUUGGUGACAACUACAUGUGACAAUUGAGUAUUCUGUGUUCCCCCUUUUUCUUAUACAUUACUUUUAAGAAAUCUUGUGUGGGGCCGAGUUGCUCAACACUAAGAAACUUCACCAAUUUCAUCUGAAUUAAAGAAAUUGUAUUCCCAAAUAUUAACUUCAUUUUUGGCCCUUCCUCCACAAAGGACAAAAUGGUGCAUCUCCCCUCUAACAGGGAUUUCAGUCAUGGCUCAGUUAACCAAGAAUUCUUAGAGCUAUGUAAAAUAUACUGAAAAUGAACACAAUUUGAAAAUCCCAGAUAAAGCAUUUUGCUUUUCUAUGUGACUGAAAGAACUUAAAAAAGCUUUAAAGUGAAACAAAAACUAAUUUUAUGUGUUUAAUUCAUGACCCUCCUUGUCAGAUAUUUUCGAUGUCACUGUUUUGUUACUCAAGGUAGUUUGCCAGCAGUGUAUCGAGUGCUGUUCAGCACGAUCCUGUGCUGGCUGCUGGAAACACCGUAAGUCAUUCAGGAGCAUUUUGUUUGCUGCAGUUGGAGAUAAUCUCCUUGGUUUGCUUAGGUAUUGGCAAGAAGAGUAGCCCUUUGAGGAAGGACAACAGUUGACGGGCAAGGAAAAUGAGACCAUAUCCCACCUGUUUCCAUUUUUCUCUAUUCUAACUAACACCCAGCUGAUUUCAUCAACAACCUAUCAAGUGACAGACUUUAGAAAUCAAAUUCUAAGUUGGCAGAGGCUUCUAAGUGAUUGCUCAGGGUGUCUGUCAAUAUCAUUUGGUUGUUCUGGUGAUUUUAAGUUUUUCUAUGAAGAGCUAAGAGGCACUCAGGGAAGGGAGAAGAAGAUGGAAUAUGGUUCAUAAGGUCAGGAGGUAUUAGUGCUAAUUUGCUAAAUCUAAAAUAUAAGCACUAUGCAAAACUAACCUUUUAUUUGACACUUGAUGUUCUCAAAGUUUAUCUUGAGAUAAACUCAUGGUGGUACAAGUCCAUGAGUCUGGCACUUAGGAGGAAGGGAGAGGAGGUUGAAGAGUUUGAGGCCAGCCUGAGCUGCAUAGGGAGAAUAUGUCUUUAAAAUGUAAAAAACAAAACAAAGCACAACAAAUCUAAACCCAAUAACAACACCUCGAGCCCAAAUAGCAACUCGUUUUCUCCCUAGAUUCAAACCCAGUACACCAAAAUCUGGCCUGUCACUGUAGUAACACACUGACACUGUCUGUGAAUAUUUUACAAUGGAACUCAAAUUCUUCUCUAUAUAUUACUAAAUAAAGUAAAAUUUCAGAGUCACUCCUCCAAAAAGAGGAGGAAGAGGAGGAAGAGGAGAAAGGGGAGGAGGGGGAGGAGGGGGAGGAGGAAGAGGAGGA